CUGUAUUCCAAUUUUUUGUUAAUGUUUUGUUCUUCAUCCGCUUGCAGAAGCAAUUAAAGUAGAAAUCGGAUUCAAGAAUCCACUUCAAAUCCCUAUUUCUAUCUCUAGUGUUUCCCUAAUAUGUGAGCAUUCUGCAAGAUCUGAUGAAAUUGAAGUUGAUCCAAAUGGCACAUCUACUGAGAAUCAGAAUGAUGACCAAUUCAGAAAAUUAGCCACUAGUGGGGAAUGUAGCUCAGAAAUGUCCUCAUUUACAGUGUCUGAGGUUGACAUUUCAUUGGGAGGAGGUGAAACACUUUUGGUGAGUUUUUCUUAUGCAUGGAGGACUUUCUUAAUUCUCCCAAAGCCUGGCACCCUUUUGAAUGACAG